rnacentral:rRNA from 1 species
UGCAAGUCGAACGAUGAACCACUUCGGUGGGGAUUAGUGGCGAACGGGUGAGUAACACGUGGGCAAUCUGCCCUGCACUCUGGGACAAGCCCUGGAAACGGGGUCUAAUACCGGAUACUGACCCCCGCAGGCAUCUGCGGGGUUCGAAAGCUCCGGCGGUGCAGGAUGAGCCCGCGGCCUAUCAGCUUGUUGGUGAGGUAACGGCUCACCAAGGCGACGACGGGUAGCCGGCCUGAGAGGGCGACCGGCCACACUGGGACUGAGACACGGCCCAGACUCCUACGGGAGGCAGCAGUGGGGAAUAUUGCACAAUGGGCGAAAGCCUGAUGCAGCGACGCCGCGUGAGGGAUGACGGCCUUCGGGUUGUAAACCUCUUUCAGCAGGGAAGAAGCGAAAGUGACGGUACCUGCAGAAGAAGCGCCGGCUAACUACGUGCCAGCAGCCGCGGUAAUACGUAGGGCGCGAGCGUUGUCCGGAAUUAUUGGGCGUAAAGAGCUCGUAGGCGGCUUGUCGCGUCGGUUGUGAAAGCCCGGGGCUUAACCCCGGGUCUGCAGUCGAUACGGGCAGGCUAGAGUUCGGUAGGGGAGAUCGGAAUUCCUGGUGUAGCGGUGAAAUGCGCAGAUAUCAGGAGGAACACCGGUGGCGAAGGCGGAUCUCUGGGCCGAUACUGACGCUGAGGAGCGAAAGCGUGGGGAGCGAACAGGAUUAGAUACCCUGGUAGUCCACGCCGUAAACGGUGGGCACUAGGUGUGGGCGACAUUCCACGUCGUCCGUGCCGCAGCUAACGCA